CACCCGCAUAUGGAGGUUCCCAGGCCAGGGGGGUCUAAUGGGAGCUGUAGCCGCCAGCCUACACCACAGCAGAUUCAAGCAGCAGCUCACAGCAACCCCAGAUCCUUAACCCAGUGCACAAAGCCAGGGAUCCAACCUGCAACCUCAUGGUUCCUAAUUGGAUUUGAUUUUGCUGCACCAGGAGACGGGGAACUCCUAAGUUAAGGAUCUUGAGAUAAAGAGAUUUCAUUCCAGAUUAUCUGAGUAGGCCAGAUAUAAUCACUGGGGUCCUUAUAGGAGGAAGAAAGAGAGGCGUUGGAGGAAGCUGGAAAAGGCAAGGAAAUAGAUUCUCCCCUUGAGCCUCCAGAAGGAAAGUGGCCCUGCCAACACCUUGACUUUAGCCCCGUGAAAUACAUUCUGGACUCCUGACCUUAAAACUGGAUGGUAACAUAUUUGCAUGUUAAGCCACUACAUUUUUUACUUUUUUUUUUUUAAAGACCGCACCUGCAGGACAUGGAAGUUCCCAGACUAGGGGUCGAAUCAGAGCUGCAGCUGCUGGCCUACACCACAGCCACAGCCACACCAGAUCUGAGCUGCAUCUGCAACCUAUGUCCCAACUUGCAGCAAUGCUGGAUCCUUAACCCACUGAGCAAGGCUGCAUCCUCACAAACACUAUGUCAGGUUCUUAACCCGCUGAGCCACCAUGGGAACUCCAGCUUCUGACAACUUGUUACAGCAGCAGUAGGAAACGAAGAAUCCCUUUACAGAUGAGAAAACAGAGGCAUGGAGGGCUAAAGCUGCUUGCCCAGAAUCCUGGGAAAGGGGUCCUCACACUGCCUGAGCCGCUCUGUCAGGUCCCCAGAUUCCCAAGCGCUGUCAAAGGGCCGUGGGCUCUGGAGUCAGACCCCCGGACUUGACUUUCAGCCUUGCCCCUUACUCGCUUUGUGUCUGUGGGCAAGUUAUGCUACCUCUCCUCGCUGCAGCUUCCUCAGCUGUAAAAUGGGAUUGCAGACAUGCUUAGCACUGAGAAGAGCUGCGGGGAAUAAACAAGUCACCGUAGGAAGGCGCUGAGAACAUGGCCCACACACCCCAUGUCCCCUGGCAUGACCUGCUCUUGUUUCAGUCAUUUCAUCCUCCAGCCAGGCCAGACGUGCACACUCCCAACAGUCUCCUUCGAGACCCGGGCCAGUCCUGCCUCUGGUUGUUGGCUCUUUCUUAAACCUUCUGAGGUCAUAUUUUCAUUCAUUAGUUUCACAUCCAAAGCCUUGUGAGCUGCGACCAUGAAGUGCUCACGCGGGCAGUCACCACACACCCAUGGGCCGAGCCGGGCAGGCAACGCGUCUCUGGAAUAUUAACACAGCCUGGGAGGGGUUUGGGCCCUUUUAUUUAAGCUGCGUGGAGAAACUGCCACCUUUGCUGAGCUCACUGGGCAGCCCUUGACUAGAGCUGGGUUAAUCUGAACUGGCCACCGCUCCCACUGCAGCCGCCUGGGGAUGACAGGUCCUCUGGUCCCCCCUGGGGCUGUCUGCUCUGGGAACUUCUGGGUGGCUGCUUUUUUUGGUGGGGGGAGGGGGGAGUUGACCCACAUCAGAGCAGGUCAGCAACCCCCAGCCUGGCCCUUCUCCAGAGGGGAUCAGAGGCAAAGAGCAGCCAGGGGCUGGGCAGCUCUGCCCGCUGGCCUUUGGAAAGAGGACCACAUGCCCUCACGAGGGGGCAGGGUCCUGGCUCCUAGUUCCGCUCCCCUUCAAUCAACACACACAAGCCGUGGCCACUCCAGUGGCAUCUGUCCCUCUUCUCCCGGGGCCACAUUCCCACGCAUCUCUCAACCAGGAAAGAAAAAUCAUCCAAUUGUGUCUAUCUGUCACUUGGUGUUGGGUGGAGGGUAGGUGCUGACACAAGUGAGAACAAGAAAGUAAUCCAAAAUCCUUCAGCGAGGGCUUAAUGCAGCCCUGUCGUUUUGUUUUGUUUUGUUUUCAAUCCAUAGCAGGCCAAAUCUUGAUUCUUACAGUUUUCUCCCAAACUGAGAACAGAUGGGCCAGGGCUCGGCCUUUCUAACUGGACGCUGUGUCCCUCUAAUGGGACAACCUUCCCAGCCAGCUAACACCCCCCUCCCCAGGCAAACGGCUCCCCUUUGGAUGCGAAACCUUGAACCUCAAGAGUCCCACUGGCCGUGGGAGCAGGCUGGCUAAGCGGAGACCCCCGACCCUGCCCUGACCCUGGGACCCCAGAGCAGCCCUGUUUAUAACAGCAAAAGCCUGGACACAACCCAAAUGCCCAUCCUCAGAAUGACUACACAGUGGUGGCUGACCCUUGAAAAACAGUUGGGUUAGCGGUGCCAACCCUCGGGGGUUGAGAAUCCAGGUAUGACUUAAGGUCGGCCCUCUGUAUCUGCGAGCCCUCUGUAGCUGCGAUUCCA
rnacentral:lncRNA from 1 species